rnacentral:lncRNA from 1 species
AUUGCAAAAUAAAAUUUGAAGUGAAUCCUAUUGUGAAGAAAAGACCCCUGCAUCAUAAAAACAAACUCUCCUGAGCCACUUACUCAAAUAUAGAUCCAAGAAGCAUUUACUAGCCCAGUGGUUCUCAACCCAGCUGCAAGAAGCUUUUUAAAAAAUAUUUAUUUCCAGGCUUCACCCCAGGCCAAUUAAAUUAGAAUCUCUUGGUGUGGUGCCCUGGUAAUCGUAUGAAUUUAAAAGCUCUCCAGUAGUUCAAAUAUGCAGCCUGAGUUGUGAGAAAUUGAUCAUACCCUUUUCUAAUCUAUCACUUUCAAAGCAAUUGUAUUCCAGAAGUUGGGUAGCAUUUGUUUGCAUUUGGGAGAACAUUUUCUCAAAUGAACAAUGUUAUACAUUGUGGUUAAUUCCCCAGGCCUUUCCAUAAAAGCCUAAUUAAGUCCAAUGUAUCUGAAGCUUAGUACUCUGCUAAUGGAAUUAUAGAAUUUAAUCACCGUGUGUAACAGUGUUCCUGCUAAAAUAGUCUCCCAGAUCUAAUGGGGAGGGAGGAGAAUAGAAAAGAUCACUUCCUGCAGCCCCAACAAACAGGAGCCUCUCUUUGCUCACCCCCUGCCACCUCUCCCCCCACUUCCUGUCCUUGGGGUCCCCUGGGUGUCAGGAGGUUUGAGGGACCCAAAGAGUGCCUCUCAGGUCCCUGAUUUCCUUCAUCAGGUAGAAUUUAACCUGCCAGCUUCCCUUCUGCUGCCACAGCAGUGCUUCUGGCCAGGAGUCGCUUCUUUCUCUGGAUAUACAUGUGGUGCAGAGUCCCCUUGUGUUACGUGUGUGUGUGUGUUGUGCUUGAUUGGUUGAUUGUUUUUUUCUCUCCUGCUCUUCCUUACUGCCUUUUUUAAGUGAUGGAGUUUUUUUGUUUUUUUGUUUUUGUUUUUGUUUUUUUUUUUCUGCCAGCAAAAUGAACCAGACCAGAGAUAGAAUGAUUUUUUUCUUAUGCUGACUUGUCCCCAGCAUAUUUUUAAACUUAGACCUUGUAAGCAUAGUACCCAUAUACUUUGUCUUCAAAAAGGGCACGUUUGAAAGGAAAGAAAGGACAUUAAAUAGUUGUGCUGGACAACCCUAGGUGAAAAAGAAUGCUCCCCCUGAAAGUGGCCCAUUGGCAGCUCAAAAGAUUGAGGUCACAUUUAUCUGCAUUUCGCUGAGUGGUGGCAAGGGUUUAAAGCAAAGAUUGGGAAUGAGGCUGAGUAGGGAGUCUUCCUGUUAUCAAAGGAGAGAGACUAUUAGGUAAUAAUCUCAGCCAUAUCUGUUUUUUCCCAUUGCCACCCAAAUCACCACACUGGUCCAGCAGCCCCGGUUUGGGGCAACAUUCAUCAGUCAGAUGGAGUGAGUGGAUGGAAAUCGAGGGAGUCAGAGAAGUCUCUGCUUAUCAGUGGUCAGAGUGAAAGAAAAGAAGAAAAUGUCCCAGGGGGUUAAAAGAGAGAAGAGAGUUGUUGUAGUCACUGAGCUGCUGACAAAUGUGUUGGCUCUUUUGUGAAGGAUAAUAACAGGUCACACAAGUCACACGAGGACCAUUCGUACAACCUGAAUGUUAAAUAGUGUAUAAGACAGAGUCCUAGGGACAUGGGAACUUUUUAUACCACCGUUCUUUGUUCACAAAGACUAAGUGGUACUCAGCUGAGCUGUGUCUGCUGCUCCUUAUCCAGAUGUCUUCCCCUGUGGCCCCUUCCAGUUGUGUGCAUAUGGUUGGCAUCUAGUUAGUCGAACCAAGAUGCCAGUGUCUGGUGCUCCCACCUCGCCUGGGAGGGAGUCCAUCUCCACGUACGUGGACAUCUGUCAGAGGACAUUUCUCAUCCUUUCUACAGGGCAAAUAAGGGGGAAAAGAGUUGGGGAAAUCAGCAUACGAAAUGUCAACCUCAUGGCACAUUGAUUUUUGGAUUUAGUUAUUUGUCCCUCUGGGAAUCUCAUUCAUGUGGCACUUGGCACAAUUACUCAUCCAACCUUAUGUACUGGGAUUUUGAAUGCCUUCAGUUUCUGAGCAGACAGACUGGCAAUAAGAUUGAUCUUGUCAUUAUUUUCUUUCAAUUUGAAUUUAUGAUCUCAUGAUCAAUUUGAUAUCUAGGGAACAGUUGAAAUUACCUGGUUUAACCUCUUUUAUUUAUUUAUUUUUCUAGUCUUAUUUUCUUCAUAAGACUCCCACUCUGUCAAAGACAUCUGACAACAAAACCAAGUCUUUUGGCCCACAUAAAAAUGACUAAUACUAGAAUGACCAGAUACUAUUUUUUCAUAUGAUUAGAAGUAGUCUGUCUUAAAACUCAAAAGCUUUUCAUAGUAUUACAUCACUUUUUUAAUAUUUCUAAUAAAAAAUGUCAAAUGAAUACAACUAUCCACACUGAUAGGAUGCAUAACAAUCAUUUUAAAAGAGUAUAUGAUUAUUUAAAAUAGUUAUUAAGCAUAUAUUAUUUGCUAAGCACUUUCAACUUUCUAGAUAUUUUAUUUGCUCUUCAUAGUCGAGCCCUGAAGUAGCAUUGCUUUGAGGAAAAGAAAACUGAAACUCAAAAAUAUUUGAGUAUUCUAAGAUUAUGUAGCUUUAACUGGCUGAAUCAAGAAUUUGACAAAUUUAAUUUUCUGGGUUUUUUUUUCCCCUGACUUCAAAGCUUUGGUCUUACCCAUUCUACUCCUCAUCAGCUGCUAACAUAUUUUUCAGACUCUCUCUAUAUACAUUGAUCUUUUAUAUUAAUUCUGUAGAGCACUGAACAAAUGUUAUAGUUUUCCUGUAGCUACAAGAGAGCUUUCUGUGACUGCUUGGAAAUUAAUCAAUCCCUGUUUGUGCUGCAGAGGAGAUCUUUCUCGAGCAAAAUACCAAUCAUGUUAUUUGAUUUUUCCCAUCAUUACUACAGGAUAGUCAGAUUUCUUAGCAAGGCUUCUGGAGCGCCACAGAGUAUACCCUCCAACCUGUACCGAUUCAUCUCCCGCCUCUCUCCUAUACAUGGAAAUAUUCCCAGAGCAGUCAUGGAGUUCCUAGGACACUCUGCAUUUCCCACAUGUCUGCACUUUUGUACGUGGUCCCUCCUCUGCUGAGAAUCUGUCCUUCAUCACCAUCCUUUAAUCCCUUGCCUGAGUACCUCCUAUUCAUCCUUCAGGUCUAGCCCAGAGUUCAUCUGUCUACUGAACAUGACUCUUGCCCAGUUAUUAUACUAUGAGGUUAUCCUGUUUUCUUGCCUCUCUUCUCUACCUAUUGACUUAGAUUCAAGGACCAUGGUUCUACCCAGCCUUUAAUCUCUGCAUCCAGCACAGUUCCUGGUAUUUAUCUCAUGCUAAUAAAGAUGGAAUGCAUAAAACAAAGAUAAAUUUACUGAUAAGUUGUAUGGUUAGACACUGCUCUCAAUAACUGAACAUUGUUAGCCUGGAUGGAAUUUGAAACAUCAGUAUAUCAUCUAAUACUGAUCUUUUUCUUUCCUUUGAUGUGUUAGAAGUGUUCAGUGAAAUAUUUCUGCUUCACUUUUGGAAGUUCCUGAAGAUUAAACUCUUCAUCCAGUCUCUUUGGCACUAUUGAUACUUCGUUGGAUAUAAUGUUAGGUAACCAGGGCAUAUAAUGAAAAGGAAAAUAGAAGAAAAUGUUUGUAGUACAGGAAUAAAAGAGAGUAGGCCUGGAAUCUGAAGCAAAAAGAACAAAGAUUUGGAAAGUUAUCUGGUAGGGCUUAUAAAACUGGGAGCUAGUCCUGGAACAGCUUCCAAAAAGAGCCCUCACAGCAGUGUUUGCAAUGCUGGUUCUCAGUGCAUCAAUAAUGGUCUUUGAAAGUGAUGAAAUACAGAUAUUUUUGCUGCUAAAGUGCCAUUAUUUCAGGCAUACAUAAGCAGUUCUUUCUCCAUCAUUGGCUCUCUUUCCUCAGCCUUCUCCUAAUCUCUUCUACUUCUCUAUGUCCUGCUUUCCUGGUGUCCUUUUUUCAAGCUAAUGAAAAACUAACUAACAUUUUCUGAACUAUUGUAUUUCUAUGCUAAUUUAUUCUGAUCAUCUCAUUGCAAGCCAGUGAAAAUUUCAUGAUGAACUGGCACCAGUUUACGCAUUAGCCCUUGAGAACCAUGGCUCGAAGCCUUUAGCUCAGUUUUCUGUUUAUAAAGUUUCCUAUGUAGAUAGCUUCUGAUGGAUUUUAAUCCUCACGUGUCCAAAUUUUUUUUUUUAUUCUGCAAGUUCAAUGCAUUCUGGUCCUUAAAAUGUUAAACUGAAGUUUAAAUGUAUUCCUUAGUAGAAAUCCCCAGACCGAUGCUGCAUUGUCCAUUUAUAAGUUAUUUUUAGUGUCUUCCCUUGAUAAGGCAACUGUUGUUUUCAUUAGACCUGGGGAGCACUGGAAGGCAGGUUCUCAUGACUGGGAUCAUCUGGAGGAGACCCUGGAGGACAUUUCUUAUCUGAAAUAAAUGAGGUUGAUCUUCAGGGUAUGGGGGAGUCCGCAUUCCUGCUGCUUAAUAGUUGAGAGCUCAGGAAAGGUAGCCCAGUGGAAUAGAAUGAGUGUGUGUGCAUGCAGUGGGGAGUCCAUAAGUGCCUGGGGGACCAUUCCUCCCAGGGUCUCUGCAGUAAUUAGAGGAUGGUGCAGAAUAUAGAGUCAGGAAAAUCUGGACUGGAAAGAUAGCUCACGCAUUUGCUACUGUCAUGAUCUGGACAAAUAACUUCUCUUUUCCUCUGAGUACAAUUGUAUGUAGAACCACAAAGGAUUACCAGAAUGCUUUAAAAAAAAAAAUCCACAAAUUAGUUGUAGCAGUAACUACUGUGUAAACUUUCCUCCUUUUCUGAGUCUCAUGUUUUUCUUAUUCUUUCUCUGAUUAGCCUUUUUUCUAGCCUUGGAAAAUUAUACCCAGAUUUUUGAUUGAGUGGAGGUUCAAUGCUCCAGACCUCAAAGGUCAACUGUAUUUGUUAUGGGAGGUAAAGGCGGCAUUAAGAAUAGCGUUGGAAUUCCUGCUGUGGCACAGUGGGUUAAGGAUUUGACUGCAGUGGCUGUGGUCUGUGCAGAGGUGCAGGUUUAAUCCUUGGCCCUGUGCAAUGGGUUAAGGGUAUGGUGGUGUAGCAGGUGUGGCGUAGGUUGAAGCUGUGGCUCAGAUUUGAUCCCUGGCGUGGGACCUCCCAUACCCC